rnacentral:tRNA from 1 species
UGCCGAAUCGUUCAAUGGUAGGACGGCUGAUUCUGGAUCAGCUAAUCGUGGUUCGAAUCCACGUUCGGCAGCCC